rnacentral:rRNA from 1 species
AAUGAACGUUGGCGGCGUGGAUUAGGCAUGCAAGUCGAGCGCUCAUCAGCAAUGGUGGGAGCGGCGAACGGCGUAGUAAUGCAUCGGAACGUACCCUCUGGACGGGGAUAGCCACGGGGAAACUGUGGGUAAUACCCGAUAAUCUCUGCGGAGCAAAGGUGUGAUUCCGCCGGAGGAGCGGCUGAUGUGAUAUUAGCUAGUUGGUGGGGUAAAGGCCUACCAAGGCGAUGAUGUCUAGGGGGGUGUGAGAGCAUGGCCCCCCAGACCGGAACUGAGAUACUGUCCGGACACCUACGGGUGGCUGCAGUCGAGAAUCUUCCGCAAUGGACGAAAGUCUGACGGAGCGACGCCGCGUGCGGGAUGAAGGCCCUUGGGUUGUAAACCGCUGUCAGAGGGGAUGAAAUCGUCGGGGGUACUCCCCCGAUGUUGACAGAGCCUCAAAGGAAGCACGGGCUAAGUACGUGCCAGCAGCCGCGGUAAAGUCUGUACU